rnacentral:rRNA from 1 species
CCUACGGGAGGCAGCAGUAGGGAAUAUUGCUCAAUGGGCGAAACCCUGAAGCAGCAACGCCGCGUGGAGGAUGAAGGUUUUAGGGUUGUUAACUCCUUUUGUGAGAGAAGUUAAUUACGGUAUCUCACGAAUUAGCACCGGCUAACUCCGUUCCAGAAGCCGCGGUAAUACGGAGGGCGCAAGCGUUACUCGGAAUUACUGGGCGUAAAGUGUGCGUAGGUGGGCUUGUAAGACAGGUGUGAAAUCCUGGGGCUUAACCAGAGGACUGCAUUUGAAACUAGGAGUCGAGAGUGUGUGAGAGGUAGGUGGAAUGAUUGGUGUAGCGGUGAAAUGCGUAGAUAUCAGGAGGAACACUAAUGGCGAAGGCGACCUACUGGAACAUUACUGACGCUGAGGCACGAAAGCGUGGGGAGCAAACAGGAUUAGAUACCCCAGUAGUC